UUUGAUGCUGUAGGUAUUGGAGUUGGGGCUCAAUUUCUUAUGUGAUCAUCCACAUUUAGAGCUGAGCAAGCAGAAUCCUCAAUUGACAAGGCUUAUUCAAGAGCAUAAUCCGAUUUUCUAUGCUUAUUGAAAGAACUAGUCAAAGGUGUAGAAGGAUUUUGUUAAUGAUCUUACUGGAGUAAUGCCCAGGUCAUCAAUAUUACCCCAGAAGAAUGCUAUGCAAUUGGAGUGCAAAUGUUCAGCCAAUGCUAUAGGAGCUGAACAAGCAGAAUCUUCAAGUGAUGAGGUUUAUCCCAGCGAACCAAUCUGAUUUUCUUUGCUUACUGAAAGAAUUAAUCAAAGGUGGAGACAGGUGAGUACCAUUUUUAAUUCAACAUUUAAAAAAUAAUUCUAGUACUGUGCACUUUAUUUAUUGAUAUAUAAUUGUUUUCUGAUGUUUUAAUUCUGUGUAUCAAAGAUGUUGUUAACGAUCUUAUUGGAGUAAUGCCCUAGGUUAUCAAUGUUAUCCUAGAAGAAUGCUAUGCAAUUGAAUUUGUAAAUGUUUAG